rnacentral:ncRNA from 1 species
CAUUUUUUUGUUUAUCCUGUUCGUAUAUCCCAGAGAUAAGGUCUAGGGGUCUCUACCAGGAGCCGUAAAUUCCUGACUACGAGUAGGUAUGCUUUGGCA